ACGACAUGAAAAAGAAUCACGGUUGAGCUGCAUAAUGGAUGUUAGGAACGCUUGUAAGAGAGCGUGAUCCUUUAAAAUGAGCUUCCUAGAAGUAAUAUUUUAGCCCACUAACCACUCGGCAUAUAUGCCAAAACUCAAAGUAAUAGAGGACUAUGUUUGCACCUAAAUUUGACAAGGUCGACGUGACACAUAAGUGGGUCGAGCCCACAAGGCCUCACCAAAAACCUUCUCAGAUUGACAAAACGUUCCGUUACUGACACUAGAAAAAAAAAGCUUUCAGGGUAUGUUUGGUACCCGGUACUACCUAAGCCAGUCUUAAAUAAGGAGUGAAACAAAGCUAAUCCCACGUUUGGUCUCUCUCGGUACUAACAUUAAUGGGCUUAACUAGGACCGGUUUUCUGAUUUCUCCUCCUUAACCGGUGUUAUCGUGGGUACUCCGAAAAUCCUACCUUAGAUAAGACCUCACUAAUCUCACUAACCUCUCUACGCCUCCUCCACAACUCCUCCACCUUCAUCUCCCAGAUCCGCAUCUGCUCCGCGCCCUCCGCUCCCAGACCCACGCCCUCUCCCGUCCUCAACCUCCUCCACCCUCGCCCUCGGCUCCUAGACCCCCGCCCUCUCCUGUCCUCAACCUCCUCCACCCUCGCCCUCGGCUCCCAGACCCGCGCCCUCUCCCGUCCUCAACCACCUCUCUAACCCUCGCCCUUGGCUCCCAGACCCGCAACCCCUCCCGUCCACGCCCCCGGCUCCCAGACCCACAUCCGCUCCCGUCCUCAACCUCCUCUCUGAUCCGCACCCUCGUCUCCCAGACCCGGUCCGUCCUCAACCUCCUCUGACCCGCGCCGUCGACACCUCCAAGGCCAAGCUCGCCGCCAUCUUCUUCCCGGAUUCGUCAACAGGUAUGUCCAUCUAUUUCUUCCUUUCUCUCUUUGAUAAUUAAUUGAUCAGUUUAAUGUUGAUUCAGUUUGAUUGUGGUGAAUUGUUCUCUAUCUGAUGCUUGUUUAUCAAAACAAACAUUGGAAUACUAACUGUUUGGUUCUUAAUAUGUUGAUUCUGACUAAAUGUUAACUAAGGCAUGCAAGUCUGUUCAUACACUUAUUUGUUUGUGGUGAAUUGUUGGUUGAUUCAAUUUUUUUACUUUUAGAUAUGGAUGGAAAAAAUAUGUUGUUGAUCUUGCUGUUGGAACUGUGGCAUUUAGAGAAUAUGUCUGUUUGUACAAUCCUUGUCAAAAUUUCAAUGACCAAGAUUGUGAGAUGUUAGAUUGUUAUUGUUAGAUGACUAAGAUUGUUUAGAUUGUUAGACUAAGAUUGUUAUGUUUAGAGUAGUCUAGUCCAAUGCAUCACCAAACAUGAGACAUCUCUAAUUUAGAACUUUUUUUCCUAAUCCCAUGCAACACCAAACGUGGCCCAGUAUUAGUACAAUUUAAGACAGUCCACACUAAUGUAGGACAGUCUUAAAAAUUAAGGAGGUCUAACCCAGUACCGGGUACCAAACGUGCACUCAAAGUGUUGUUUAGGACAUGGUAGUUGAAUGGUCGUGGCAUAAUGUGGCAUUGGUUGCGACACACGUGUCAUUGGUAACGACGCAUUGUGUCAUUGGUUGCAACGCAAUAAGACAUUUGGCCGUGGCGUGUUGGGGCAUUGGUCGCGGCAUAAGGAAUGAUAUUAAAAGUUCUUGAUAUGAUCGUGAUUAUUAGCCACAGUGCAUUAAGUCUUAUUGUUUAACUUUAUUGUAGCACAUUUAGUAGUCUUACCAAGCUUGGAGCAAUCAACUUGUCGAACGGUUCAGCAAGCUAGAGUAGCCCGAUGGCGGAGCUGUGUCGGAGUAGGUAGGGGGGAGAGAGAGAGAGAGAGAGAGAGAGAGAGAGAGAGAGAGAGAGAGAGAGAGAGAGAGAGAGAGAGAGAGAGAGAGAGAGAGAGAGAGAGAGAUUUAAUUUUCUAUGAAACUUUCGAAAAAAUUCAUAGAUUAUAGCUUGAGAGUCCAAAAAAUAAUUCAAAGGUAUCUCCGAGUUCAUGUCAAUGCGUAAUAUAAUUAAUAUCAUGGCCUUAGAUCGAGAACUCAACUUUAGAAAAAUUCUGUAAAAUAAUCUAAAACAAUAUAUUCUCUUUAAAAUUUUCGAAUGUAGUUACAUUUGUUUUGGUAGCUCGGCCAAUUUCUUAUUUGCCGAAUUAGGAACCAACACUUUCCACAACUUCUUCCAAAACUCAGUAUAGAUUCAACAAUAGCUCAAAACUUCAAAAGGCUAACAGGAAGUUGAAUGUUGAAUGUGUAAAAGACAAACAGUAAGCCGUUUUAACUGA
rnacentral:lncRNA from 1 species